UGCCAGCAGCCGCGGUAAUACGUAGGGGGCAAGCGUUAUCCGGAAUUAUUGGGCGUAAAGGGUACGUGGGCGGCUAAAUAAGUCAGGCGUGAAAGGCAUCGGCUCAACCGGUGUAAGCGUUCGAAACUGUUUAGCUUGAGUACAGGAGAGGAAAGUGGAAUUCCUAGUGUAGCGGUGAAAUGCGUAGAUAUUAGGAGGAACACCAGUGGCGAAGGCGACUUUCUGGACUGUAACUGACGCUGAGGUACGAAAGCGUGGGGAGCGAACAGGAUUAGAUA
rnacentral:rRNA from 1 species